rnacentral:rRNA from 1 species
GGGACACGUGGUAUCCUGUCUGAAUAUGGGGGGACCAUCCUCCAAGGCUAAAUACUCCUGACUGACCGAUAGUGAACCAGUACCGUGAGGGAAAGGCGAAAAGAACCCCGGCGAGGGGAGUGAAAAAGAACCUGAAACCGUGUACGUACAAGCAGUGGGAGCACCUUCGGGUGUGACUGCGUACCUUUUGUAUAAUGGGUCAGCGACUUAUAUUCUGUAGCAAGGUUAACCGUAUAGGGGAGCCGCAGGGAAACCGAGUCUUAACUGGGCGUUAAGUUGCAGGGUAUAGACCCGAAACCCGGUGAUCUAGCCAUGGGCAGGUUGAAGGUUGGGUAACACUAACUGGAGGACCGAACCGACUAAUGUUGAAAAAUUAGCGGAUGACUUGUGGCUGGGGGUGAAAGGCCAAUCAAACCGGGAGAUAGCUGGUUCUCCCCGAAAGCUAUUUAGGUAGCGCCUCGUGAACUCAUCUUCGGGGGUAGAGCACUGUUUCGGCUAGGGGGUCAUCCCGACUUACCAACCCGAUGCAAACUACGAAUACCGAAGAAUGUUAUCACGGGAGACACACGGCGGGUGCUAACGUCCGUCGUGAAGAGGGAAACAACCCAGACCGCCAGCUAAGGUCCCAAAGUCAUGGUUAAGUGGGAAACGAUGUGGGAAGGCACAGACAGCCAGGAUGUUGGCUUAGAAGCAGCCAUCAUUUAAAGAAAGCGUAAUAGCUCACUGGUCGAGUCGGCCUGCGCGGAAGAUGUAACGGGGCUAAACCAUGCACCGAAGCUGCGGCAGCGACACUAUGUGUUGUUGGGUAGGGGAGCGUUCUGUAAGCCUGCGAAGGUGUGC